rnacentral:rRNA from 1 species
UACGAAGGGGGCUAGCGUUGUUCGGAAUACUGGGCGUAAAGCGCGCGCAGGCGGUCUUCCAAGUCAGUGGUGAAAGCCCGGAGCUCAACUCCGGAACUGCCAUUGAAACUGUGAGACUUGAGGAUGAGAGAGGUGAGUGGAAUUCCCAGUGUAGAGGUGAAAUUCGUAGAUAUUGGGAAGAACACCGGUGGCGAAGGCGGCUCACUGGCUCAUAUCUGACGCUCAGGCGCGACAGCGUGGGGAUCAAACAGG